GAAAUGCGAUAAGUAAUGUGAAUUGCAGAAUUCAGUGAAUCAUCGAAUCUUUGAACGCACAUUGCGCCCGCCAGUAUUCUGGCGGGCAUGCCUGUUCGAGCGUCAUUUCAACCAUCAAGCCCCCGGCUUGUGUUGGGGACCUGCGGCUGCCCGCAGGCCCUGAAAAACAGUGGCGGGCUCGCUGUCACACCGAGCGUAGUAGCAUACAUUCUCGCUCAUGGCGUGCUGCGGGUUCCGGCCGUUAAACGACCUUCAUAACCCAAGGUUGACCUCGGAUCAGGUAGGAAGACCCGCUGAACUUAAGC
rnacentral:misc_RNA from 1 species